rnacentral:rRNA from 1 species
AGCAGCCGCGGUAAUUCCAGCUCCAAUAGCGUAUAUUAAAGUUGCUGCAGUUAAAAAGCUCGUAGUUGAAUUUCGGGAUCAAUAUGUUGGUCGUGCCUCGGUACGUACUAGCUUAUUGGUUUCUUCCUUCUGACGAACCAUAAUGUCAUUUAUUUGGUGUUAUGGGGAAUCAGGACUGUUACUUUGAAAAAUUAGAGUGUUUAAAGCAGGCUCACGCUUGAAUACAUUAGCAUGGAAUAAUGAAAUAGGACGUUUGAUUCUAUUUUGUUGGUUUCUAGGAUCGACGUAAUGAUUAAUAGGGAUAGUUGGGGGCAUUAGUAUUCAAUUGUCAGAGGUGAAAUUCUUGGAUUUAUUGAAGACUAACUACUGCGAAAGCAUUUGCCAAGGAUGUUUUCAUUAAUCAAGAACGAAAGUUAGGGGAUCGAAGACGAAUCAGAUACCGUCGUAGUCUUAACCAUAAACUAUGCCGACUAGGGAUCGGAUGAUGUUAAUUUUUAAUGUACUCA